AUUGAACGCUGGCGGCAGGCCUAACACAUGCAAGUCGAACGAGCGGCGGACGGGUGAGUAAUGUCUGGGAAACUGCCCGAUAGAGGGGGAUAACUACUGGAAACGGUGGCUAAUACCGCAUACCAUCGGAUGUGCCCAGAUGGGAUUAGCUAGUAGGUGGGGUAAAGGCUCACCUAGGCGACGAUCGCUAGCUGGUCUGAGAGGAUGACCAGCCACACUGGAACGGAGACACGGCCCAGACUCCUACGGGAGGCAGCAGUGGGGAAUAUUGCACAAUGGGCGCAAGCCUGAUGCAGCCAUGCCGCGUGUAUGAAGAAGGCCUUCGGGUUGUAAAGUACUUUCAGCGGGGAGGCGUUACCCGCAGAAGAAGCACCGGCUAACUCCGUGCCAGCAGCCGCGGUAAUAC
rnacentral:rRNA from 1 species